rfam:Culex pipiens quinquefasciatus supercont3.263 genomic scaffold, whole genome shotgun sequence.
ACUACAAUUCGGCCUUUCAUUGGGACGUCUAGCUCGUACUUGAAACAGUUAGCUGCCUAGUGAAGGGCAAUAUUGUGGU